ACUUUAAUUGAAGAGUUUGAUCAUGGCUCAGAUUGAACGCUGGCGGCAGGCCUAACACAUGCAAGUCGAGCGGUAACAGAUUGAUAGCUUGCUAUCAAUGCUGACGAGCGGCGGACGGGUGAGUAAUGCCUGGGAAUAUACCUGAUGUGGGGGAUAACUAUUGGAAACGAUAGCUAAUACCGCAUAAUCUCUUCGGAGCAAAGAGGGGGACCUUCGGGCCUCUCG
rnacentral:rRNA from 1 species